GCAUUGGUGGUCCAGUGGUAGGAUUUUUGCCUUCCAUGAGAGAAACCCUGGUUUGAUUCCCAGCCAAAGCA
rnacentral:tRNA from 1 species